CCUGCAGCGUAGCCGCACAGAGGCAUCAGGACAGCCACCACAUAGACAGAGGGAGGGAUGGUGGACAGGAGCUCCGGCCCCAGCAUCGCUCCAGUGAGGAUGAACAGCAUCACAAGGGUGACCAACAGAGACCACAGAGAUGCCUGGAAUUACAGUAUUUAAGGAUACGAACCACACAAUGUGAUCCCGUGAGUGAAACCUGCUGAAGUAUCAGGCCGUGGUGCCUCACGCAGCGGCUGAGCGUCCAGGGAGAAUAAUCGCACUGACGUCAAAUGUCUUCAGGGCGCUGAGGCUGGAGUGGGACGGGACAGUUUGCACCAGUCAGUGACUCAGGCUUUCAUCCGUCUCCUUCUGUUCCCAGAGACACGCCGUGUCCCCCAUUAACCAGCGUCUGACUCCAGAUGACUGCAGGCAAACCAAGGCAGGUGAUGUGUCCUCUGCUGGCCGAGCUGGAGUCGGGCUGGUUUCUUUGGCAUUUCCUGGGCAGUCUGCACUACAUGCCUGACCCCUCCAGAGCCGGAGCCCACAGAGAAACAACGAUGAAAGGUCCUCUUUUGGCCUGAUGUGGAUACUGUCCUCUCCAUU